rnacentral:rRNA from 1 species
GCUAAACUCGUGCCAGCAGCAGCGGUAAUACGAGUGCCCCAAGCGUUAUCCGGAAUUACUGGGCGUAAAGGGUGUGUAGGUGGUUGUAUUAGUCUUUUGUUAAAUUCUUCGGCUUAACCGGGGGCAUGCAGAAGAAACGGUACAACUAGAGGAUAUGAGGGGUGAAUGGAACUCAUGGAGUAGGGGUGAAAUCCGUUGAUAUCAUGGGGAACACCAAAAGCGAAGGCAGUUCACUGGCGUAUUCCUGACACUGAAACACGAAAGCGUAGGUAGCGAAUGGGAUUAGAUACCCUGGUAGUC